UGAGGAAUAUUGGUCAAUGGGCGAGAGCCUGAACCAGCCAAGUAGCGUGCAGGAUGACGGCCCUAUGGGUUGUAUACUGCUUUUAUGUGGGGAUAAAGUGCGUGACGUGUCAUGCAUUGCAGGUACCACAUGAAUAAGGACCGGCUAAUUCCGUGCCAGCAGCCGCGGUAAUACGGAAGGUCCGGGCGUUAUCCGGAUUUAUUGGGUUUAAAGGGAGCGUAGGCUGUCUAUUAAGCGUGUUGUGAAAUUUACCGGCUCAACCGGUGGCUUGCAGCGCGAACUGGUCGACUUGAGUAUGCAGGAAGUAGGCGGAAUUCAUGGUGUAGCGGUGAAAUGCUUAGAUAUCAUGACGAACUCCGAUUGCGCAGGCAGCUUACUGUAGCAUAACUGACGCUGAUGCUCGAAAGUGCGGGUAUCAAACAGG
rnacentral:rRNA from 1 species